rnacentral:rRNA from 1 species
UACAUGGGGUGCAAACGUUGCUCGGAAUUAUUGGGCGUAAAGCGCACGUAGGCGGUUCGUUAAGUCGGAUGUGAAAGCCCUCGGCUCAACUGAGGAAGUGCACCCGAAACUGGCGAGCUUGAGUACGAAAGAGGAUCGCGGAAUUCCCGGUGUAGAGGUGAAAUUCGUAGAGACCCGGAGGAACACCAGUGGCGAAGGCGGCUUCCUGGUCUGCAACUGACGCUGUGGCGCGAAAGCUAGGGGAGCAAACGGG